GGGUAAAAAGGACAGAAGAGACUGUGAUUACGUAGUCAGCUCAGCGAAUUCUUAGGGAGAAGGGAUCAUUGGCCCCUCUGAGAGAAGGCACAGGGGGGGCACCAAGGCCUGUGAGAGAGGGGAACUAAUGGAGUGAGGUCAGAAUCUGGGAAAGACAAGGGAUGGCAAGAGUAUGACUGGGGAAGGAAUUGAAAGCAAAACUGGGAGACAAAAAGGGAAAAUUUGAGGGAGACGGGGAAAAGAUCUUAGGUAAAGAAUCUUGUACUGGGAAUGGGAUGACCCGGAAUUCUCGUUCUAUCCAGUUUUGUCACUCACUGGCCUUUGGGCCUCGGUUUCCCUCUCUGUAAAAUGAGGACGUGGGACCAGAUGGAGGAUUCCUACCUAAGCAGGAGUCUAUGGCCCGCGGGAGUAGAGGAGGUAGGUGGGGGAGGGGAAAGGGCAGAUUUCCCAGGGACCACAAACUUGGAUGAUGAAAAAAAUGGCAUCUUGCUUUUCCCUCAUCCGUUUUCUUUUUUAAUCCUAUGGAUUCUGUGCAUUCAACAUGAUCGUGAGAAGAGCUAGACCAGACCGGAAGGGGAUAUUCUUGGCCCACAGAAGGCUAAGAACCUCUGGGCUCGAUGAUUUCUAAGGUUCCUUCCAAAUCUGGGAGUUUAUGAAUCUAGAGUUUGGAGGGGUCUGCCUUGAACUGGACAGGAGGGACACAGGGAGGCCAGGGCUGCAGUGUUACAGCUGGGGGAGCCUCCCGUCGCGAGAGGAAGGGGUUGGGCAGGGAAGAGAAAGGGGGCGGAGAGCGAGACUAGGCGGGACGGGACGCGACUGGGACGGGAAAGUACGGGACGGGGCUGAAGCUCUCCAGGAGCCCGGCCAGGAGGCGGGGAGAAGCCGGAAGCCUCGAGCUGCGCUCCCCGCCCCGGUCAGCUCAGACCCGCCCCCUCGCCUGCCCAGGCGAGCUCAGACCUCCCGGCUUGGCUCAGCAGGCGGUGCUUUCUCACAUGGUCUGGAGGGAUCAUUAGGAAAGCAUUUGAGCCAUCUCCUAAGGCAAGACUGA
rnacentral:lncRNA from 1 species